rnacentral:misc_RNA from 1 species
UACGGAGGGUGCGAGCAUUGUUCGGAAUUACUGGGCGUAAAGCGCGCGUAGGCGGGUCUUUAAGUCGAUUGUGAAAGCCCAGGGCUUAACCCUGGAAUUGCAGUCGAUACUAUUGAUCUUGAAUACCUGAGAGGGUGUCGGAAUUCCCGGUGUAGGAGUGAAAUCCGUAGAUAUCGGGAGGAACAUCCGAGGCGAAGGCGGACACCUGGUGGUGUAUUGACGCUGAGGCGCGAAAGCGUGGGGAGCAAACAGG